GCGUUCAACAACCACCGCUCUUGGCCAAAAUCCGGCACGGUGGAAAUGAGACACCCUCCACCCUCCAUUCUUCUUCCAUCUGCUGUUCUUCAUUUCACGGUGCUCUUUUAGCAUUCUAAUCGAUGUAAUUGUUUCAUUUUAAAUUUCUUUCUUUCUGCGUAUGUUCUCCGAAAUCGAUUAUCCGAUCAAGCUUCUUCGAUCGCUCUGGCGUGCAAAUCUCAUCUGAGUGUUUUGUUUUUGUUAUGAUUCAUUAGUUUUUAGUGAGUGCUGAAUCUAUACGACGUUAUAGGUAAAGUAGCCAGCUCAUUGGCCUCUGGUUUUUUUCGGCCAUUGGCGAAGCAUUUGGAUCCUCACUUGAUUUUCUCUCUGGAAGGACCUGCAGUUUGUGGAUCAACAUGGGAUUUCAUAGAGAAUUUCUGCAUUGCCGAUUUGCUAAAGAUGGGCAUGAUCUUGAUUCUUUCAUACUUCGGUGAGUGAAACAAUUAAGUUUUUGUGUAUGUCAGUCCCUUGGUAUUCGUAAUAUGCUGGAAUUUCUCUGUUUUCCAUGGUUGGGAGAAAACAGCCUUACAGCUUAAAAUCUUGCAUAUACAAGCACUCUUAGUUUACAUCUGGAUCAUAUUUUAUUACAACCAAAGCUAUGGGGUUUAUCGAUUAAUCCUUGAUGUUGAUGUCGAACCCUUCGAUUUCUGGAUAUAUCGACGGAUAUUUAAUCAUUGAUUACAACUAUUGAUGUUCUAUUAACUUCCUAAUGUACCCGUGGUUGUAAAUUGUCAUAAGUUUUUUAUUUAAUUUAGUUAUUAACUCUCAUCGAUUUAUAUCGAAAUUUGAUAGAGUUUUGUGUCUCACAUUACAUUUCUUGAGUGACAUUUUGGUGAGAGUCUUUGUAGUGUAAGAGUGAGGUAUUCACUUGUAACACUUUGAUUAUAUUAGUGAUUGGUUGCUACCCAUGGAUGUAGGAGAAUUUCUUCUCUCCGAACCACGUAAAUAUUUUAGUAUCUCUCUGUGUAAUUUCGUUCAUUGUGGUUGUGAGUACCUUCGUUCCGCUUUCACUACAACAAUCGGUAUCAUAGUUUUGUGGUUGUAGCAUUUGGCGCACAACACCCGACUCGUUUUUUUUGUAGAACAUUUCUAGUUCAAUAGUUGAAGCUAAUUUGAUAUGGUAUCGAAGCAUGCAAUUGUUUCUUCUACGUUUUGAAAUGUAUAGUUCAUUUCUCUCAACAUUUAUCGGUCAAAUUAUAGUUGCUGUAUAGUUGUGUAAUGAAGAAUAGGUUCAUCCAUCUCCUAUGCAUGUAUUGCCAUUUAUUUAGUUCAUCUCUCAUUUAUUUGGCUCAUAACCCUUUUGGUUAUCUUCCAUUGCGAUUGAUUCAUGUAUAACAUUAAUAUUACUAUGUCUAUCUAAAGGCUUGUCUAUCAUUGUUUUGAGGUGUGGAGUUAUUGUCAUUUUGUAUUUGCUUAGAGGCAAUUAGGAGAAACUUUGUAGGAGAGACUUUGUAGUGUGAGAGUGACAAAGAUACACUUGUUAACACUUUGGUUACCGUGAUUAGCUACCACCCGUGGAUGUAAGGGAAUUUCUUCUCUCCGAACCACGUAAAUCUUUGUCUCUUUGUUUAAUUUCUGUUUGUGGGUGUGUGAGCGCAAUCGAUCUUGCUUCCGCUUCCGCUGCAACAAUAAUGAUAAUGACAACUAAGUUCAUAUGGUAUGGGAAGAUGCAGCUAUUUUCCGUGUUAUGGUAUGUGGUAACAUCUAGUUAUCUGAUCGAAGUUGGUUAUGACUUACUGAUGUAAUUGUAAUGGGAUUUGGGAAUACAAUCUACUGUUUGUCCCCUAAUAAUGUCUUUUACUUCUUUACCUGGUAUGACUCUAAAUCAUAGGCUCACAAGAUCAAAAGAAACUUCUUCGGAAAGGGAUCCAAAUCCAGUUUAGAUUUGUUUAGUUACAAAUGAUGGUAUUUUACUCCUAUGUUUAUUACAUAAAAUUGGCGUCUUCGGCUGCAUCGGUCGGGUUCGGGGGGGCUCUGCAGAAUGAUAUGGACUUGUUUAGCUUGCCAUUGUCAAAAGAACAAGAAGGCAGGCACUUUAGAAGAAGGGACCUGGAAGAAAAGUUUGAAAGUGAAGAAUGAAAACAUUGGCAUGGGUCAACAAGUGAUUCGAGCAAUGUCCCCAAACAUGUCGAGUCGAGAACUAGCAGAGGGUGUCUCGUAGAUGGAUGAGGAACCACAGAGGUUUUCAAGUGAGAAAGUCGUCGAGGUCGAAAAGUCAUGCAAUUGAAGUUAAGGAGCGGUAGGGUGUUGGUCUAUGGUAAGCACAGAAGAAAAUCUGUUGAGGUUGGGACUCGUUUGAAUGAGAUUCAUAGCUUGGAUGUUAGACGAACACGACUCUCCAUAAUGGUAUGAUAUUGUCCACUUCAAGCGUAAGCUCUCAUGGUUUUGCU